GAUGAACGCUGGCGGCGUGCCUAAUACAUGCAAGUCGAGCGAACAGAUGAGGAGCUUGCUCCUCUGACGUUAGCGGCGGACGGGUGAGUAACACGUGGAUAACCUACCUAUAAGACUGGGAUAACUUCGGGAAACCGGAGCUAAUACCGGAUAAUAUAUUGAACCGCAUGGUUCAAUAGUGAAAGACGGUUUUGCUGUCACUUAUAGAUGGAUCCGCGCCGCAUUAGCUAGUUGGUAAGGUAACGGCUUACCAAGGCAACGAUGCGUAGCCGACCUGAGAGGAUCCGACCACAGAAUGUAGGAGAGACAAGGCCCAGGCGGCUGAGGGCGGCAGCAGUAGAGAAUCUUGCACAAGGGGGAAAAGCAAGACGGAGCGACGACGCGGGGGUGAGGAAGGUCUUCGGAUCGUAAACCCCAGCGAGUAAGAAAGAAAAGAUGUAUAAUAAACUAUCCACGUUGUAAUGAUACCUAAGCAAAAAGCCGCGGAGAACUACUCGCCAGCAGACGCGAUAAGAGAUCGACCAGACGUAAGAAC
rnacentral:rRNA from 1 species